CUGCAGCCCGAGUGGUGAUCGAUUUUAUUGAGCCUAAAGCGUCCGUAGCCGGACUAGUAAACCCUUGGGUAAAUUGGGCAGCUUAACUGUCCGAAUUCCGAGGGGACUGCUAGUCUUGGGACCGGGAGAGGUCAGAGGUACUCUUGGGGUAGGGGUAAAAUCCUGUAAUCCUGAGAGGACCACCAGUGGCGAAGGCGUCUGACUAGAACGGAUCCGACGGUGAGGGACGAAGCCCUGGGGCGCAAACCGGAUUAGAUACCCGAGUAGUCC
rnacentral:rRNA from 1 species